CAGAAGUUUUGGAAGAGUCCUGGGAGAAAACGUAAUUUCCUUCUGAUGGCUGAACAAAAAUCUAAUCCUGUAUGGCAGCAUUUCACCAAGCCAACACCAGAAAAAGCCAGGUGCAAUAUCUGCAGCCGGCUGGUGAGCUUGGGAACUGAAGAAGGAGUUUGCUGCUAUAUUGUGCACUAAAAGAGAUUCUGAUGCUGGUAUUUUUAUUGUUUAUAAGUUUAAGUUAUUGUUUACGAGUUGCAUUGUGUUUUCGUUAUUUAAAGUUUAAAUUUACACAAGUCAGUAUUCAAUAAAUGCUAAGUUGAGAAAUUU